AAGUCGUAACAAGGUUUCCGUAGGUGAACCUGCGGAAGGAUCAUUACUGAACGUCGACACGAGUUGUUGCUGGUCCCUGAAAGGGGGCAUGUGCACGCUCUGUUUACACAUCCACUCACACCUGUGCACCCUCUGUAGUUCUAUGGCCUUGGGGACUCUGUCCUCUUGCCGUAGUCCUGCAUCUUUACACACACACACCGUAACACAGUCUCAUGGAAUGCAUGUAGCGUUUAACGCAAUACAAUACAACUUUCAGCAACGGAUCUCUUGGCUCUCGCAUCGAUGAAGAACGCAGCGAAAUGCGAUAAGUAAUGUGAAUUGCAGAAUUCAGUGAAUCAUCGAAUCUUUGAACGCACCUUGCGCCCUUUGGCCAUUCCGAAGGGCAUGCCUGUUUGAGUAUCAUGAACACCUCAACUCUCAUGGUUCGCCAUGAUGAGCUUGGACUUUGGGGGCCUUGCCGGCUUGACUGUCGGCUCCUCUCAAAUGAAUCAGCUUGCCAGUGUUUGGUGGCAUCACAGGUGUGAUAACUAUCUACGCUUGUGACCGUUCACCAGGUAACCUUCAGCGAUGGAGGUUCGCUGGAGCUCACAGACGUCUCUCCCCAGGGAGGACAGCUUCUAAAUGUUGAUCUCAAUCAGGA
rnacentral:rRNA from 1 species